GAUGAACGCUGGCGGCGUGCUUAACACAUGCAAGUCGAACGAAGCACUUUAUUUGAUUUCCUUCGGGACUGAUUAUUUUGUGACUGAGUGGCGGACGGGUGAGUAACGCGUGGGUAACCUGCCUUGUACAGGGGGAUAACAGUUUGAAACGGCUGCUAAUACCGCAUAAGCGCACAGCAUCGCAUGAUGCAGUGUGAAAAACUCCGGUGGUAUAAGAUGGACCCGCGUUGGAUUAGCUAGUUGGUGAGGUAACGGCCCACCAAGGCGACGAUCCAUAGCCGACCUGAGAGGGUGACCGGACACAUUGGGACUGAGACACGGCCCAAACUCCUACGGGAGGCAGCAGUGGGGAAUAUUGCACAAUGGGCGAAAGCAUGAUGCAGCGACGCCGCGUGAGCGAAGAAGUAUUUCGGUAUGUAAAGCUCUAUCAGCAGGGAAGAUAAUGACGGUACCUGACUAAGAAGCACCGGCUAAAUACGUG
rnacentral:rRNA from 1 species